rnacentral:rRNA from 1 species
UCUGUGGGGGAUACCAGUUGGAAACGACUGUUAAUACCGCAUAAUAUCUGCGGAUUAAAGGUGGCCUUUGUGCUGCCGCAGAUGGAUGAGCCUGCGUUGGAUUAGCUAGUUGGUAGGGUAAGGGCCUACCAAGGCUACGAUCCAUAGCUGAUUUGAGAGGAUGAUCAGCCACAUUGGGACUGAGACACGGCCCAAACUCCUACGGGAGGCAGCAGUGGGGAAUAUUGGACAAUGGGGGAAACCCUGAUCCAGCAAUGCCAUGUGUGUGAAGAAGGCUCUAGGGUUGUAAAGCACUUUAGUUGGGGAGGAAAGCCUAUAAGUUAAUAGCUUGUAGGAAGGACGUUACCCAAAGAAUAAGGACCGGCUAACUCCGUGCCAGCAGCCGCGGUAAUACGGGGGGUCCGAGCGUUAAUCGGAAUUACUGGGCGUAAAGGGUCUGUAGGUGGUUUGUUAAGUCAGAUGUGAAAGCCCAGGGCUCAACCUUGGAACUGCAUUUGAUACUGGCAAACUAGAGUAUGGUAGAGGAAUGGGGAAUUUCUGGUGUAGCGGUGAAAUGCGUAGAGAUCAGAAGGAACACCAAUGGCGAAGGCAACAUUCUGGAUCAAUACUGACACUGAGGGACGAAAGCGUGGGGAUCAAACAGGAUUAGAUACCCUGGUAGUCCACGCUGUAAACGAUGAGUACUAGCUGUUGGAUUCGGUGUAAAGGAUCUAGUGGCGCAGCUAACGCGUUAAGUACUCCGCCUGGGGACUACGGCCGCAAGGCUAAAACUCAAAGGAAUUGACGGGGACCCGCACAAGCGGUGGAGCAUGUGGUUUAAUUCGAUGCAACGCGAAGAACCUUACCUGGUCUUGACAUCCUGCGAACUUUCUAGAGAUAGAUUGGUGCCUUCGGGAACGCAGUGACAGGUGCUGCACGGCUGUCGUCAGCUCGUGUUGUGAAAUGUUGGGUUAAGUCCCGCAACGAGCGCAACCCCUAUUGAUAGUUACCAUCAUUAAGUUGGGUACUCUAUUGAGACUGCCGCUGACAAGGCGGAGGAAGGUGGGGACGACGUCAAGUCAUCAUGGCCCUUACGACCAGGGCUACACACGUGCUACAAUGGGUAUUACAGAGGGCUGCGAAGGUGCGAGCUGGAGCGAAACUCAGAAAGGUACUCUUAGUCCGGAUUGCAGUCUGCAACUCGACUGCAUGAAGUCGGAAUCGCUAGUAAUCGCAGGUCAGAAUACUGCGGUGAAUACGUUCCCGGGUCUUGUACACACCGCCCGUCACACC